rnacentral:lncRNA from 1 species
AAAAACCGUGUCAUCCCCUUUUCCAGUUAAUAUUAUUGAUUCUGGACCGGGUUUGUGUAUGUGUCCGAAAUAAAUCGGAUGCUGAGGCUGAACUAACCAUUCCGUGGAUGGUAUUUUCCCCCAUCACUGACCCAUUUUCCUGCUUUGAAACCGGAUUUGGCGGUCGUUAAGAAUUCCUCACCAGGAAGCCGAGUGGCCGGGCCU